AUUGAACGCUGGCGGCAUGCCUUACACAUGCAAGUCGAACGGCAGCACGGGUGCUUGCACCUGGUGGCGAGUGGCGAACGGGUGAGUAAUACAUCGGAACAUGUCCUGUAGUGGGGGAUAGCCCGGCGAAAGCCGGAUUAAUACCGCAUACGAUCUACGGAUGAAAGCGGGGGACCUUCGGGCCUCGCGCUAUAGGGUUGGCCGAUGGCUGAUUAGCUAGUUGGUGGGGUAAAGGCCUACCAAGGCGACGAUCAGUAGCUGGUCUGAGAGGACGACCAGCCACACGGGGGCAGGGACACGGCCCAAACCCCGACGGGAGGCAGGGGUGGGGAUUUUUGGGCAAGGGGCGAAGGCCUGUACCAGAAAUGCCGCGUGUGUGAAGAAGGCCUUCGGGUUGUAAAGCAUUUUUGUCCGGAAAGAAUCCCUUGGCCUUAAUCGGGUCGGGGGUGGACGGUACCGGAAGAAAAACCCCCGGUUAAUCACGG
rnacentral:rRNA from 1 species